UAGAGUUUGAUCCUGGCUCAGAUUGAACGCUGGCGGCAUGCCUUACACAUGCAAGUCGAACGGCAGCGGGGACUUCGGUCCGCCGGCGAGUGGCGAACGGGUGAGUAAUGUAUCGGAACGUACCUUUCAGUGGGGGAUAACGUAGCGAAAGUUACGCUAAUACCGCAUAUUCUGUGAGCAGGAAAGCAGGGGAUCGCAAGACCUUGCGCUGAUUGAGCGGCCGAUAUCAGAUUAGCUAGUUGGUGAGGUAAAGGCUCACCAAGGCGACGAUCUGUAGCGGGUCUGAGAGGAUGAUCCGCCACACUGGAACUGAGACACGGUCCAGACUCCUACGGGAGGCAGCAGUGGGGAAUUUUGGACAAUGGGGGCAACCCUGAUCCAGCCAUGCCGCGUGAGUGAAGAAGGCCUUCGGGUUGUAAAGCUCUUUCGGCCGGGAAGAAAUCGCAUGGGUUAAUACCCUGUGUGGAUGACGGUACCGGAAUAAGAAGCACCGGCUAACUACGUGCCAGCAGCCGCGGCAAUACGUAGGGUGCGAGCGUUAAUCGGAAUUACUGGGCGUAAAGCGUGCGCAGGCGGUUUAGUAAGACAGGCGUGAAAUCCCCGGGCUCAACCUGGGAACUGCGCUUGUGACUGCUAAGCUAGAGUACGGCAGAGGGGGGUGGAAUUCCACGUGUAGCAGUGAAAUGCGUAGAGAUGUGGAGGAACACCGAUGGCGAAGGCAGCCCCCUGGGCCGAUACUGACGCUCAUGCACGAAAGCGUGGGUAGCAAACAGGAUUAGAUACCCUGGUAGUC
rnacentral:rRNA from 1 species